GGGGGGGGGGGGGGGGGGGGGGGGGGGAGGGAGGGGGGAGGGGGGCGGAGGGGGGGGGGGCGGGGACGGGGGGCGAGGGGCGGAGGGGGGGGGGAGACGUGGGAAGCUAGGCGUGCGGGGGGGAGAAGGGAGGGAAACUUACGCGAAUACCGCAUACGACCUAGGGGUGAAGGCAGGGGAUCUGCGGAGCUUGCGGGGUGGGAGGGGCCGAGGUCGGAUUAGCUAGUUGGCGGGGGAAAGGCCCACCAAGGCGACGCGCCGUAGCUGGUCUGCGAGGAUGAUCAGCCACACUGGAACUGAGCCACGGUCCAGACUCCUACGGGAGGCAGCAGUGGGGAAUAUUGGACAAUGGGCGCAAGCCUGAUCCAGCCAUGCCGCGUGGGUGAAGAAGGCCUUCGGGUUGUAAAGCCCUUUUGUUGGGAAAGAAAAGCAGCAGGUUUAUACCCCGCUGUUCUGACGGUACCCAAAGAAUAAGCACCGGCUAACUUCGUG
rnacentral:rRNA from 1 species